CACAAACGACUCUCGGCAACGGAUAUCUCGGCUCUCGCAUCGAUGAAGAACGUAGCGAAAUGCGAUACUUGGUGUGAAUUGCAGAAUCCCGUGAACCAUCGAGUCUUUGAACGCAAGUUGCGCCCAAAGCCAUUAGGCUGAGGGCACGCCUGCCUGGGCGUCACGCA
rnacentral:rRNA from 3 species